rnacentral:rRNA from 1 species
GACGAACGCUGGCGGCGUGCUUAACACAUGCAAGUCGAACGGAAAGGCCCUGCUUUUGUGGGGUGCUCGAGUGGCGAACGGGUGAGUAACACGUGAGUAACCUGCCCUUGACUUUGGGAUAACUUCAGGAAACUGGGGCUAAUACCGGAUAGGAGCUCCUGCUGCAUGGUGGGGGUUGGAAAGUUUCGGCGGUUGGGGAUGGACUCGCGGCUUAUCAGCUUGUUGGUGGGGUAGUGGCUUACCAAGGCUUUGACGGGUAGCCGGCCUGAGAGGGUGACCGGCCACAUUGGGACUGAGAUACGGCCCAGACUCCUACGGGAGGCAGCAGGGGGAAAUUUUGCACAAUGGGCGGAAGCCUGAUGCAGCAACGCCGCGUGCGGGAUGACGGCCUUCGGGUUGUAAACCGCUUUCGCCUGUGACGAAGCGUGAGUGACGGUAAUGGGUAAAGAAGCACCGGCUAACUACGUG